GUUAGGUUAGGUUAGGAUCAUCGGACAUAAAGAAUAGGCGUGAUAUAGUUAGGUUAGGUUAGGUUAGGUUAGGAUCAUAAAGAAUAAAGAAUAGGCGUGAUAUAGUUAGGUUAGGUUAGGUUAGGAUCAUAAAGAAUAAAGAAUAGGCGUGAUAUAGUUAGGUUAGGUUAGGUUAGGUUAGGAUCAUAAAGAAUAAAGAAUAGGCGUGAUAUAGUUAGGUUAGGUUAGGUUAGGAUCGUAGGACAUAAAGAGGAGGCGUGAUAUAGUUUGGGAUUAGUUUGUGUUUGCAUUUAAGAUCACGUUUUUGUUACAGUAAGGAGAAAUUUCAAGGGCAUAGGAAGAUAGGUAAGGCAAGGUAGUGCACUUUUUUUUUUUUUAAGAGGAGACGCUUCAGAGGCAUACAAAGAUUGAGAAAGUGGUUAAAAAAGGGUAGUUAA